rnacentral:piRNA from 1 species
UCCAGAGAAACACAUAAAUCACCAUGCAACC